rnacentral:rRNA from 1 species
UACGUAGGAGGCAAGCGUUGUCCGGAAUUACUGGGCGUAAAGCGCGUGUAGGCGGCCCGGCACGUCGGACGCUGAAAUCCCCCGGCUCAACCGGGGAACGGGCGCCGAUACGACCGGGCUGGAGGGGGGUAGGGGGCGCCGGAACUUCCGGUGGAGCGGUGAAAUGCGUUGAGAUCGGAAGGAACGCCCGUGGCGAAAGCGGGCGCCUGGACCCCACCUGACGCUGAGACGCGAAAGCCAGGGGAGCGAACGGG